CACAGAAAACGAAUGCCUGUUGUUCCAAGUGGUAAUCCUCCUGCAAGUUCACCAACUUCUACAUUGACUACUAUUAAGUUCUGCUAAAAUAAAUAGAACAUGAAUUUAGAAGCACAGUAGAAGUGAAAAACAAAGAAGAGAAGAGAUAGCAGCAGAGAAAGACAGAAAAGGUGAAUACAGAGCUACAGAAGUGUUUAUUGAGCAUGCUACAGAGGAGGACUGUAUUGCCACCAGCUGAAACUCCAGGCAUUCCCACACGGCCAGCAGCAGCAGCUGCAGCUGCAGCAGCAGCAUUUGGAAU